UUCAUUAUUAUAUUUAACUUUAAAAAGAAUGAUCCUAUACUGAGAAGAUUAACAUGGCCCCUGCGCCAGAGGGACACACAAAUUUGUGAGGUGUGCCAUAUUUAA
ensembl:snRNA U6 U6 spliceosomal RNA